GACGAACGCUGGCGGCGUGCCUAAUACAUGCAAGUAGAACGCUGAAGGGAGAGCUUGCUCUUCUGGAUGAGUUGCGAACGGGUGAGUAACGCGUAGGUAGCCUGCCUGGUAGCGGGGGAUAACUAUUGGAAACGAUAGCUAAUACCGCAUAACAUUGACUAUUGCAUGAUAGUUAAUUGAAAGGUGCAAAUGCACCACUACCAGAUGGACCUGCGUUGUAUUAGCUAGUUGGUGGGGUAACGGCUCACCAAGGCGACGAUACAUAGCCGACCUGAGAGGGUGAUCGGCCACACUGGGACUGAGACACGGCCCAGACUCCUACGGGAGGCAGCAGUAGGGAAUCUUCGGCAAUGGACGGAAGUCUGACCGAGCAACGCCGCGUGAGUGAAGAAGGUUUUCGGAUCGUAAAGCUCUGUUGUAAGAGAAGAACGAGUGUGAGAGUGGAAAGUUCACACUGUGACGGUAUCUACCAGAA
rnacentral:rRNA from 1 species